rnacentral:rRNA from 1 species
UACGAAGGGGGCUAGCGUUGCUCGGAAUUACUGGGCGUAAAGCGCACGUAGGCGGAUCACUAAGUCGGAGGUGAAAGCCUGGAGCUCAACUCCAGAAUUGCCUUCGAAACUGGUGAACUCGAGUCCGGGAGAGGUGAGUGGAACUGCGAGUGUAGAGGUGAAAUUCGUAGAUAUUCGCAAGAACACCAGUGGCGAAGGCGGCUCACUGGCCCGGUACUGACGCUGAGGUGCGAAAGCGUGGGGAGCAAACAGG